UUUUAGGCCGUAAGAAAACAUCUAGUGUGUUUUUCUUAUCAUGUAGGACUAAAAUUCACUAGGACUUGUUUUAUUUCCUAAUUGUACUAUUACUUACUUGUGAGCGUGAGACACCUGGAAUUUUUGCUGAGAUCUCGUUUGACCUGCUUGUCUAUGUCCUCUUGACUGCGGCUUCAUCCUUUUAAGCGACGCUUUCUAAAACUCUAGCUAGCGACUGGAAUCCUCGAGACUAAGGCAACGCUGGAUAUGCUAGAGUGCAGCCUCUGGGUAAAACGGCAGGAAAGCAUCAACGACAGAUGUAAAGAGGCAGCCGCCGGCAGAAAAGCAAGUAGUUGAAGAAACGAACCUUUCCGAAGAGCCUGAAAGCUUCUCGGAAGCUAGCCCAAAACGAUGUAAAGACUCCGGCGCAGUCGACAUCCAAGGUCAUAGCCUAGUGUCUUCGGUACGAUGAAAUGCACGCCUGGCACACCGCUACGCUCGUACAUCCACAGCGUUUCGCUUCGGAGGUACGAGAAGAUUAGGCGAAUUGAUACUCUUGGUAGGUGCGCGCCACUGUUCCACUGGCACCCUCGACCAUAAGUCCCAAAUAACGCUGAUGAAGAUCCCGGACUACGCCUGCCCGAGAGCUACAGAAACCUCGCUCGAAGAUGCAAAAACGCUGCGUCUCUCUCUUCAGUGAGCUCAAAAAGGGAUGACUGGGGAGGUAUUCAACAAAAGCCAAAUACGAAUAAAUUGCGUCAAAUGCUGCGAGACGCCCGUCAAACCUUGACUGCAUUGGGCCUAUUUGCCGUUCAAGUUCGGAUUCCGCAGGAAUCGAGGCAGUUUUUUGCCUUCUCUCUCUCUACCUUUGACUUAAGACUCUCUGCAGGCCAACAGGCCCAACCGCUCUUGCCCUUCCCCAGUAGCUUCUAUUAUCGCACAAGUCAUGACAUUCAUAAACGCGCAAUUUUUCUGCUUCAGCAAUAGGGCAUCGGUGGCUACCCACGUUUUUUUGCUGAUGCUUCGGCGCCACUACUUUCAAGUGCGGCUGAACACGUCGAAGUAAUCUAUGUAAUGGCGACCUUUAUCGUAUAGGACUGUCGUUCUUCACCAUCGUACAUGAGUGCGUACACAGGUUAUAAGUAAAACCCAAGCGAAUGAGGUGUGCACGAUGUCUAAUCUGAUACAUGAAAGAACGAUACGACUUUGGCUUGAUUUUUGUGUUGCUGGGAACAGUGCUCGAUGUCUCCAGCUGCGUAUUGAAGUUAGCUUGAAUCGUGAAAUAUGUACGUAUUGGCAUCUCUAACCAGUUACUCCUAUUGGUUGAUGUUAGUUCAAACGAGGCCGGAGCUUUUGGUUAAUAGAUUCGGUGGAACAGCCCUGCUAAGGCAGUAGCCACAAAAGAUAAAAAACGAUGCCCGCGUAUAACAUAAACAUAGACAAUAACAUGAUCUACGCUCAUAUAUCAUAUGGCCUGCAUCGUAUCACUAGACCCUGCUACAUUUCUAAGCAGUCGCAUGGUUUACUUUCGAUGAUGUUGCGAUCGUACAGGAGCACGUGCCAACGCUUCUAUUAAUGUUAAUAUACUCGAAUGCGGGGCAGCGUCGUCUGCUAGUGAUUCGUUGUCUGUACGACGCCCUGGAUUUCUAUAUGAAGAUCUAUGUUGGCAAAAACUAAUUUGACAAGUUUCGCUAAUUAGCAACAGAGUGACAAUAUAUAGAUGCGUAAACUUGCUUCAGCCACCAUAUGUCGGCAGCAAUAUUAUUAAAUGUAUGCAUUCACAGUCAACAGGUUUAGCCGCACGCCAAGUCGUGCAUGUGGAUAAUUUACCUUGGCCAUUGUCUCUCCUAUCAUCGAAUAUAAGCGCCGUUAUUGAAAACGUGUUCCAAAUCUACUUUGCAUCGACUUUAAUUAAACUUACUUGUUUUACAUGGAA
rnacentral:lncRNA from 11 species